UACAGAGGUCUCAAGCGUUGUUCGGAUUCAUUGGGCGUAAAGGGUGCGUAGGCGGCGAGGUAAGUCGGAUGUGAAAACUCCAGGCUCAACUUGGAGACGCCAUUCGAUACUGCGAUGACUUGAGUCCGGUAGGGGAGUGUGGAAUUCCUGGUGUAGCGGUGAAAUGCGCAGAUAUCAGGAGGAACACCGAUGGCGAAGGCAGGUCUCUGGGCCACUACUGACGCUGAGAAGCGAAAGCAUGGGGAGCGAACAGG
rnacentral:rRNA from 1 species